AGCAGAGCUGAAGUGACAGAUUUCAGUGUGUUUUCCAUGGUAGGUCCAUUAAUACUUUCUCCUUUUCCCUACAUUUCAUGUUAAUAAGAGAAUUUACCUAAAUGUUGAAUUCUAUGUUUGUCCAUGGGAAGAUUCAGCUUUUCUGAACUCUCAUUAUAAAAAGAUACCUCUCUAGGAAGAUGCUUAUUGGCAUGCCAUUAGUAUGUCCUGGCUCUCAUAGAAAUGCUUUCUUUCCAGGGAGGCACAAGCCUGUCACUGCAAGAUAUUACAGCAUGAAACUGAAGUCCAGCUGUUUUUCAGCCGUGGAGAAGUGCAGAAUCGUGUCGGCAAGUCUGACCCUAGCAAACUCAGCCAGCUCUCCAAGUGACAUUAGGCUGCAGGAAAAUGUCAAGAAUGGUAGCACAUGUGGAACAUAAGAGGUGGAACAGAAAGCCUUAGAAUUGCUGCAAAUAUAUUCCUUCAAAUAGUAAUUUCCUUCUCAAGCUGGCACAUUCUGCAAUCACAUUAUUUUGAAUAUUUGAUCUCUAUUCCCUUGAUGUUGACCACACUUCCCACAGCUAUCUGUAGUUCACUCUUCCUGCAAUUUAUAACAGAAAUAGAGACAUAAAGCAAAAUCACAUACUUGUAAGUGAGCUCAGCUUUGGACUCUCUGUGCUAUUGCAACAGUCCCCCUGUGUCUAUGCUGUACUUGAAAUUCUCAAGACCGAACACUUGUCAAGCCCAUGAGAAAAUCCAUUCAGUUGCCAAGCCCAUGAGAAAAUCCAUUCAGUUGUCAAGACCGUGAGAAAAUCCAUUCAGUCAUCUGAAAUUUCUAACACUGAUCUUUGGAAAGCAGGUGGGCUUUUGCACCAGGACAAACUCUGCAUCUUCCUCACAACAGUUCACCCGUGAUAUCCAGUGAUACAGAAAGAGUGGAGGGAAAAGUGUAGAGCUCCCUGGCAUGGCCUCAUGUUGGAGGGUCUCCUGGGAGGCUGGACAAGACUUUACUGUCAGGACCUUAGAUAUUUUAUCUGAGCUUGAUUUGCAGUAACAGUUUAUGUUCUGGUACCCUGACAGUGUUCAUUUCUCUCACAGCAAAAAGUCUCUUCUCUAAAGAAAUAACAAUAAUAAUAAAAAAAAA